rnacentral:rRNA from 1 species
UACGAAGGGUGCAAGCGUUAAUCGGAAUUACUGGGCGUAAAGCGCGCGUAGGCGGUUUGGUAAGUGUGAUGUGAAAGCCCAGGGCUCAACCUUGGAACUGCAUCACAUACUGUCAGACUAGAGUACGGGAGAGGGGGGUAGAAUUCCACGUGUAGCGGUGAAAUGCGUAGAGAUGUGGAGGAAUACCGGUGGCGAAGGCGGCCCCCUGGAUCGAUACUGACGCUGAGGUGCGAAAGCGUGGGGAGCAAACAGG